rnacentral:rRNA from 1 species
CGGGUGAGUAACGCGUGGAAAACCUGCCGUAUACUGGGGGAUAACACUUAGAAAUAGGUGCUAAUACCGCAUAAGCGCACAGCUUCGCAUGAAGUGGUGUGAAAAACUCUGGUGGUAUACGAUGGUUCCGCGCCUGAUUAGCUUGUUGGCGGGGUAAUGGCUCACCAAGGCGACGAUCAGUAGCCGGCCUGAGAGGGUGAACGGCCACAUUGGGACUGAGACACGGCCCAAACUCCUACGGAAGGCAGCAG